rnacentral:lncRNA from 1 species
ACUGAGUUCUAUGGAUCAUGGAUUAACUAAGGAUAUUGUGAAAACAUGACAUUGGCACUAGGCACACAACUAUAUUUUUUGGGUACAAGUACCCCCAGGACUCGAUAGAAGGAAACUAACAAGGCAUGACUUUCUUGAAUACAUGACCAACAUCAACAAUCCAUAAUAUAAUAAGUUGGGGAUUUCAUGAAGUACAUAGUUAUCAUAAUCUUGUGCAUGAAUGGAAAUACAUAUCAACAUAUCAAUA